AUACGUAGGGGGCGAGCGUUGUCCGGAAUGAUUGGGCGUAAAGGGCGCGUAGGCGGCCCGGUAAGUCUGAAGUGAAAGUCCUGGUUUCAAGUUGGGAAUUGCUUUGGAUACUGUCGGGCUUGAGUGCCGGAGAGGUAAGUGGAAUUACCAGUGUAGCGGUGAAAUGCGUAGAGAUUGGGAGGAACACCAGUGGCGAAGGCGUCUUACUGGACUGCAACUGACGCUGAGGCGCGAAAGUGUGGGGAGCAAACAGGAUUAGAUACCCUGGUAGUCCACACUGUAAACGAUGAAUGCUAGGUGUAGGGGGUAUCGACCCCUUCUGUGCCGCAGUUAACACAAUAAGCAUUCCGCCUGGGGAGUACGGCCGCAAGGUUGAAACUCAAAUGAAUUGACGGGG
rnacentral:rRNA from 1 species